GUGGAGCAUGUGGGUUAAUUUGACUCAACGCGGGGAAUCUUACUAGGUCCGGACCGAGUCUAUGAACGUCGUACCGUUGGGUGCUACGUGAUUACUGGAUGAGUGGUGCAUGGCCGUUCUUAGUUCGUGGUGUUAAUUGUCUACUUAAUUGUUUCGGCCAUGUAUCUCUCGGUACAGACCUACAACGAACGAGAUCGAGACCCGUGGGUUGAAUUCGGUAUUACUACGGGGAUCGCGUAACACUCAACGGUACGAUCGAAAGACUCGGCAAUAACAGGUCUGUGAUGCCCUCAGAUGUUCUAGGCUGCACACGUGCUACACUGUGAGUUGUAGUAUAUUGUGUAUGCGUAGAUAUGUCUAAGAUCCCCCGCAUCGAGUCUCAAUUACUCACGAGGUUGGACUCACCGAUUGUUGAAAUUAUUCAGGAUACUAA
rnacentral:rRNA from 1 species